rnacentral:rRNA from 1 species
UACAGAGGUCCCGAGCGUUGUUCGGAUUCACUGGGCGUAAAGCGCACGUAGGCGGCCUUGUAAGUCGGAUGUGAAAUCCCUCGGCUUAACCGAGGACGUGCAUCCGAAACUGUGAGGCUCGAGUAUGGAAGAGGGUCGCAGAAUUCCCGGUGUAGAGGUGAAAUUCGUAGAUAUCGGGAGGAAUACCAGUGGCGAAGGCGGCGACCUGGGCCAAUACUGACGCUGAGGUGCGAAAGCGUGGGGAGCAAACAGG